rnacentral:rRNA from 1 species
AGUUCGAUCAUGGCUCAGAUUGAACGCGCUGGCGGGAUGCUUUACACAUGCAAGUCGAACUGGCGGCACGGACUUCGGUCUGGUGGCGAGUGGCGAACGGGUGAGUAAUGUAUCGGAACGUGCCUAGUGGCAGGGGAUAACUACGCGAAAGCGUAGCGCCUACGCCACGCCCUUCGGGGGAAAGCGGGGGACCUUCGGGCCUCGCACUAUUAAGAGCGGCCGAUAUCGAAGGUUCAGCUAGUUGGUGGGGUAACGGCUCACCAAGGCGACGAUCCGUAGCUGGUUUGAAGAGGACGACCAGCCACACUGGGACUGAGACGGCCCAGACUCCUGCAGGAGGCAGCAGUGGGGGAAUUUUGGACAAUGGGGGAAACCCUGAUCCAGCCAUCCGCGUGUGCGAUGAAGGCCUUCGGGUUGUAAGCGCUUUUUUGGCAGGAAAGAAACGGCACGGGAUAAUACCCAUUGCAACUGACAGUACCUGCAGAAUAAGCACCGGCUAACUGCAUUGCCAGCAGCCGCGGUAAUGCGGGUGCAAGCGUUAAUCGGAAUUACUGGGCGUAAAGCGUGCGCAGGCGGUUCGGAAGAAAGAUGUGAAAUCCCAGAGCUUAACUUUGGAACUGCAUUUUUAACUACCGAGCUAGGUCAGAGGAGAUUGGAGUUCCGCCUGUAGCAGUGAAAUGUAGAUAUGCGGAGGGGAACACCGAUAGCGAAGGCAGCCUCCUGGGAUAACACUGACGCUCAUACGCAGCGUAGGAGCAAACGGAUUAGAUACCCUGGUAGUCCACGCCCUAAACGAUGUCAACUAGCUGUUGGGGCCUUCGGGCCUUGGUAGCGCAGCUAACGCGUGAAGUUGACCGCCUGCAGGAGUACGGUCGCAAGAUUAAAACUCAAAGGAAUUGACGGGGACACCCACAAGCAGUGGAUGAUGUGGAUUAAUUCAGUGCAACGCGAAAAACCGCUACCUACCCUUGACAUGUCUGGAGAUCCGAGAAGUUUGGGAGUGCUCGCAAGAGAACCGGAACACAGGUGCACUGCAUGGCUGUCGUCAGCUCGUGUCGUGAGAUGUUAGGUUAAGUCCCUGUGAAGCGCAACCCUUGUCAUUAGUUGCUACGAAGGGCUUUCAAUGAGACUGCCGGUGACAAACCGGAGGAAGGUGGGGAUGACGUCAAAGUCCUCAUGGCCCUUAUGGGUAGGGCUUCACACACGUCAUACAAUGGUCGGGACAGAGGGUCGCCAACCCGCGAGGGGAGCCAAUCCCAGAAACCCGAUCGUAGUCAAGAUCGCAGUCUGCAACCUCGGCUUCGUGAAGUCGGAAUCGCUAGUAAUCGCGGAUCAGCAUGUCGCGGUGAAUACGUUCCCGGGUCUUGUACACGCCGUCACUGUAAAUUGGGUUUUUUACCAAGUAGUUAGCCUAACCGUAAGGAGGGCGAUUACCACAGUAGGAUUCAUGACACAGGGUGAAGUCGUAACAAGGUAA